UUCCUCCACCAUCUUCAGGGCAGCACUACCGACACUCUUCAUCGUCAUGGCCGAAAACCAGUAUGGAAGCAUGGCACCCACAAUCAACCCAAUGAAGACCUUUGGAGUCAAAACAUCCACAUUGGAGAUUCCUGCACGACUCACAAAGGCGCCAAACAACGCCAGAGACACCAAGGCAGCUGAACCGAUGGCAAAACCCUUUCCGAUGGCAGCUGUGGUGUUGCCUGCGGCAUCCAGGGCAUCAGUCCUCUCUCUUAUCCUG
rnacentral:misc_RNA from 1 species